CCUACGGGAGGCAGCAGUGAGGAAUAUUGGUCAAUGGCCGUAAGGCUGAACCAGCAAAGUCGCGUGAAGGAAGAAGGAUCUAUGGUUUGUAAACUUCUUUUAUAGGGGAAUAAAGGUAUCCACGUGUGGAUAUUUGCAUGUAACCUAUGAAUAAGCAUCGGCUAACUCCGUGCCAGCAGCCGCGGUAAUACGGAGGAUGCGAGCGUUGUCAGGAUUUAGUGGGUUUAAAGGGUGCGUAGGUUGUUUUGUAAGACAGCGGUGAAAGUUUGUGGCUCAACCAUAAAAUUGCCGUUGAAACUGGAAGACUUGAGUGUAUUUGAGGGAGGCGGAAGGCGUGGUGUAGCGGUGAAAUGCAUAGAUAUCACGCAGAACUCCGAUUGCGAAGGCAGCUUACUAAGCCAUAACUGACACUGAAGCACGAAAGCGUGGGGAUCAAACAGGAUUAGAUACCCGUGUAGUC
rnacentral:rRNA from 1 species